GAGGAAUCCUGAGCAGAGCCCCAGCUCCUGUGACUGCCGUAGCCCUUGCGUGCAAGAGGGCUGGCCAGGGCUUGUGGGUGGACUUCAAACCAACACUUGAGUGCCCUCACCAAGUCUUGGCCCCUGUGUGAAUUCCUGCCUUUCCCAGAAAUGAGUCCAGGGUGUCUGACCUCA
ensembl:lncRNA novel transcript, intronic to GLDN